ensembl:lncRNA
GUACACAAGCACACACAUUACACAGAGAGGUACACAACUCCACAUUACACAGAGAGGUACACAAGCACACACAUUACACAGAGAGGUACACAACUCCACAUUACACAGAGAGGGACACAAGCACACACAUUACACAGAGAGGUACACAAGCACACACAUUACACAGAGAGGUACACAAGCACACACAUUACACAAAGAUGUACACAACUACACAUACACACAUUACACAAAGAGGUACACAACUACACAUACACAUUACACAGAGAGGUACACAACCAGACACACACAUUAGACAGGGAGGUACAUAACUACAGACACAUUACACAGAGACGUAAACAACUACACAGUUACACAACACUGCAGGUUGUUAUGCACAAAACAUUACACAAUGCACACUUUUACACCACACAAGGGAAUAAAAUGUGUUUGUGUUAGUAAGUCAUAAGCUUCAAAGGCUGC